rnacentral:lncRNA from 1 species
UAUUCCUACAUGAAAAACGUUGUGCUAGCCUAUGGAAGGAAACCACCACGGAAGGAUGUUUACAAAUGAUUCUCUUGUGUGGGAGGGUUUUCCAAAGUCCCGAAGCAGGAAAGUGGGUUGGGCCCUUGGAGAACAGUUCUGUAAAGAGGGAACUGAAUUUGUUUAUUAUUAUUUUUUGUCUUUUUCAGGCUGCACCCACAGCGUAUGGAGGUUCCCAGGCAAGGGGUCGAAUCAGAGCUAUAGCUGCCGGCCUGCACCACAGCCACAGCAACGGCAGAUCCUUAACCCACUGAGCAAGGCCAGGGAUUGAACCUGCAUGCUCAUGGAUGCUAGUCAGAUUUGUUUCUGCUGAGCCACAACGGGAACUCCAAGAGGGAACUGAAUUUAAAAACCAAGCACACCAGGCAACCUUGAGGUCAAAGGGUAUUCAGCUGACCCAGGCAUAUCUUAUUCCUCUGGACAGAAAGAUUGACGAGAACAAAUGGUCUAGAGGCAACUGGGAGGGAGCCUGUGCCCGGUUGCUACCGAGAUGGGAGUGGGCGGGAGGCCAGAGGGGGCCUGCCAGGCAGAUGGGGCUGGCCAUGGGGGGCUUUGCAAGCCAUACUGAGAGCUUGAACUUAAUUUUGAAGCCCACAGGGUAGCUCUGCAAGAUUUUAAGCAGAGAAGUGACAUGUUUGUGUGCUUUAGAAAUAUUUUUCUGGCUAUGGUAAUAGCCCCAGCAGGAGGCGAGAAGGGUCUGGACUGUUAGUGAUAAAGAGAGAGGGCUGGAUUGGAGUAAGAGUCAGUGGUGGUCAUGGAGGGUGAGCAGGGGGAAGAAGAGGGAGGAUACCCGUGUACAGCUUGGGUGACUGGGUGGACAGCUGAACCUGCCACAGAGACGGGUUGCAGGAUGCGGGAAUCACCAGGGCUGUGCAUGGGGGUCCAGGGUGCAAAGGUUUCACUGAGAGUGGAGUCUCGGGGUGGGAGAAGGCUUUUGCCAAGAGUGCUGGAAAGUGCCUGCUAGUCCCCUCCAUCAUGAGGCAGAACCCUGAGGAUGGAAGCCAGGUAGGGACACAGAUUUGGAAAGUGACAGCAGCAAGGUGCUCAUGGGAGAUUCUUGUGCAGAAGCCAGGAGUCUAGGAGCAGUUCUGUCCUGACUUGUGGACCUCCGACAAGUCACGUUUCCUUCCCUGCCUCAGUUUCCUCCUCUGCAAAAUGCAGGGGUGAAUCAUGCAAGGGUUCCUCAAUGGUUGGGGAUAUCUGUGAGGCCCUGGAAACAGUGGGCAAAACUAUGUGCGUGUCUGCUUGCUGAGGGUCAGCAGAGUCACCUGAGGAGGGAAGUGACCUCAGACCUCUUAGGCUACAUAAGGACUUAGAGCCCUGCUGGCAAGCAUUGCUCUUGAAAUGUGCCAGGGGUGAACCUCCUCUCACCCAACCAGCUCCUGGAAGGCUGAGACCAGGUCACAGGUUGAGCACAUGUCCCUAGGUGGGUGUGUCUUGAUGUCCCCUCCGGGCCUCCCCACACCUGCAAAGUCACCUGUGAGGAGCACUGAGUCCCCUCCCUGCCCCCAGAGGCUCCUGGCCCUCUGGUCAGCUCAGGCCUGGGCCUCCGCGUGCUUCCUCUCUCUUCUCCACCCCACAAACUCUUGCUCAUUCUUCAGAGCCCGAAGGCCAGCCUCCAGGAAGCCCCAAGCAGCACUGAUUUCUCACGGAAACAGGGUCCUGCAGAUGAGGCGUCCACACCUCUGUAUAUCCUGUUUGUCCUGUUUUCCACUUGACAGGGAUGUAGGUCGUUGGCACCCUCCAUCUCUGCCCCAUAAGCUUUUCUGGCAAGGACGGUGUCCUCUGUGCCCCCAAAUGUCACCCCCAAUGGUUGGGACUUAAUGUUCAGCAAAGUUAGUUUCUUUAGCCAUCUUAACUUGUGGAAUGAUUGUCAGCAAGGUAUUUCGUGUUUCUGACCUUCAGCUCCUCAGUGUGUGUGUGUGUGUGUGUGUGUGCGUGUGCGUGUGCGUGUGUGUCAGUGGAGCAUGGUAGCACAGCCAACGUCUGCCAUGCCCGGCACUGUUUGCAAAGUGCCUUGUACAUCCUGUCCCACAGGAUCCCAGGAUGACGAAGGCAAAAUGAGAGCCAUUAAAGAUUGCACAAAGCCUCUCCGACUCACACACAGAAUGGAAAGAAAUAACCCAUGUCUGGAGCACUUCACAGCAGGCCUCCUGCCAGCCAGACCCUUUAGAAAAAGGUUUGUAUGUGUGGUGUAGCAGAGCCCUGGCCGGCAGGUGUGGUUGUGCCCAUUCUACAGAUGUGGGAAGAGGAUGUGUGGGUUGCUGGCUUUGCUCAAGGUCACAUGCAGCGCUCCAGCCUGCCGCCUCCUGUGGGGAGAGCCUCAGCCUGUGGUGUGGUGGUUCUCUUGGGCUGAGCAGAUGGUCUUGAGCACUAGCUGCACGAGCUAGCCGCAUCGUGCCCCCCCGUAUCUGGCUUGAAACUCCAGCCAAGAUCCGCUUCCUUCCCCAGCUUCCAUGCCCCAGCUGGGCCCGAUCCCUUCUCCUCACACAGCACAGGACUGGCUCUAAACCGGUGGGGGCUGGGUGGGGUUGGAGGGGGUUUCUGGCAAGCAAGCUGUUUGCUCUGGGAGAUGAGCUCCCAGAUGGGGGCCCUGGAGCGGAUGCCAAGGAAAUCACCACAGCCUGGCUGAGGGCAGGGUUGAGGUGGCCAGAGGAAUUUAGAAGUGGCCCUCUGAUCUCAGGGGAGAGGCCAGUGGGCUGAGACAGAGGGCAAACCCUGUGACUGAGCUGUGGGAAGGCUGGCCCGAGCCCCGGGGCCUCACUGCCCGGGGGACAGGGGGAGGGACUGGCUGCUGGAGCCCCCAAGAUGGGCUGACAGAGCCAAACUGACAGAUUGUGGGAAUGAGGGCCGCUGAAUCACCCCGCCCGGCUGGACACAGCCACCAUCGAGGGCUGGAAGUGAGAAAGUGUUCCCCAGCCAGGGCCUCAGGACGCUCUGAAUUAACUGGGCCCGUCAAGCCCCCUGUUCUAGACUUGGCUGCCCCUUGCUUCACUGAGCUGAGGCAUAUUUGUCAAAUAUUUGUCAUGUUUGAAGCUGUCAGCUCUUGAGGGGUUUGGGGCAGGCAUGUGACCCUGUGGAUGGGCCACUGGACCAGAGUUCAGAGUCCUGGACUUUGGCAAAAGACAAGUAUGGUUCUGGUGCCGGGCGGGUCACUUCAUCUUCCCUUCCUCCCAUUUCUGUGGGGGGAUGAAAAGGGAUAUGGAAAAGCUCUUCACAUACUGCCCGCACACAGUCUGGCCUCCUGUGGGAGCUGCCCUGCUCCAGGCCUUCCCCUGAGGAAGGGACAGCAGCCUGCUCUGCUCGGUGUCAUCCCUGCCAUGGACCCUGUGGGGCAGCCAGGGCCCCUCUGCAGAGUCAGGGGGAGGGGUCAGGGUCACAUCUCCACCACCCAGGGUCCACCAGGAAUUCUGCCUGCACCUCUGGUGGUGGGCAGAGGCAGGGGGAGGCCUUCCCUUCCGUGGGCACCAGGAGCUCCUGCCCAGAGCCAAGCCGCCCAGGGCUUUUGCAACCUGAGAGCCGGAGCCGGACCUUUUUGCUGGGACACGUGUCAGCAGGAAAUUUUCCCUGUUCAUCCUGUUCGCAUUCCAAGGAGGCAGUGUCCAGCUCAGGGACACAGUAACAAGACAUGGCUCCUGCUGGGCCUGCUAGAGAAGCCAGCAGGUCUCCAUCUGGCAGUUCAACCUCCUGCUUUGCACCGUAGUGAUGCAUCUUCUAUAGCAGGUGCUCUCCAAACUGUCUAAGGGCGAUGGGCCUCCUGAGCUCUUUGCACACUUGGCUAAUCAGUGUCAGGCGUUGACCAAUCAGGGGAGGAACCUCUCUGUGGGAAAUUGGACUCAGCAGAGGACCCAACACCCAGUGCGCGCCCGGGGAAGACUUGAGGGUGGUUCGUUGAGCAGGUCAAAUCUCUGGGGAUUAAAGGAAAGCACCUGAAGCAGAAUCUGGUUAAGUGUGCCCAAUGUGUGCCCAGAGGAAUCACACACAUGUACACAUACACCCCCACUCGGUUAUUUCCAGUGACUGGAGGAGAGGGCUGCAGCCAUAGAUAGCCCAAGCCUUUUGUUUGACAGGCCCAGAUUGGGGAAGGGACUCAGGCACAUUCACCCAGGAGGUUAUUCACAGGGCCUGUUUUUUAUUACCUUUUAUUUUCUGUUGCCAUGUCAGUGGACAGGUGUCCUCCAUUCCCUUUCCCACUCCCAGCCAAUUCCUUGUAUUUACAAUUCCUUGCUCCUGGUGCUGUGUUUGAAAUGCUUCAGGGGGAAAGAGGACAUGGCCAGGGAAGAGCACGUGCGAGGACCCUGAGGCACAGGGAGCCGAGGAUGUGAGCACCACCUGGGUGAAUGGAAUUCAGAGAGAGAAGCGCUCCCGCAGGCAGGGGUGGGGAAGCAGGGGUGCUGGGGGAUUGGAAUGAGAUUCCAGCUUCAUGAUGGUUUUGAAGGCUAUGGAACUGGCCAGGUGAUUAGGAGCAACCUGCUUGUCCUCAGGCAGCUAAGUCUCAAUUCCCAUGUGACUCUGCAGUCCCGAGGCACCGAGACUAGGAGCUUGGUGGGGAGCGGGAAGGGGGCACAUAAAAUCCUACCUCUCCUGGAGUUCCCGUGGUGGCUCAGUGGUUAACGAAUCUGACUAGGAACCCUGAGAUUGCGGGUUCAAUCCCUGGCCUUGCUCAGUGGGUUAAGGAUCCGGUGUUGCCGUGAGCUAUGGUGUAGGCUGCAGACACGGCUCGGAUCCCGCGUUGCUGUGGCUCUGGUGUAGGCUGGUGGCUACAGCUCCGAUUACACCCCUAGCCUGGGAACCUCCAUAUGCCAUGGGAGCAGCCCUAGAAAA